rnacentral:lncRNA from 1 species
GAGCAGUAGAGUGACAUGAUCAGAGUGGCAUUUAGCAAAGCUUUCUCUAUUGCUCCAAGAAGCAGAGAAUGACCAACUGUGCCAAACGCUGCUUUUAGAGAAAAUAAGGUCCAAGAAUUGACCGGUAAGUGUUCAAAUAGUUUAAUAAAAAAAGGAAUUUAAUUAGUAGAAAUAUUCUGAUAUAUAAUUUAUAAAUGGCAUUUUAUGGGUUUUAUGGGAUUUGUUGCCCUUCUUUUGAAUAAUUAAAAGUGGAACACAGAUAUAAUAAAUAAUUAAUGAGUAAGAGUUUUAAAUGGAAUGCUAGAGAUGUAAAGGUAUAGGAAUAACUGGAGAGUACCAUUAAUUUAUUGCGGUCUUUGAUAUUUUCUGCAUAUUGCUGGUAACGAUCCUUCUGCUUCAUGUGAAAUUUAUUCCUCAGAAUAAUUCUUUAAACAUAACUCAACAUUAUGGCAAUUAUCCAAGAUUUCAUGCCAGACACCGACCAAGAGAAAGGUUGACUCUUGAAAAAAGGUAUUUUCAACGUCUCUGCAGGUCAUCAGGACGACGCCGUGGAAGAGUUCGUGAACGUUUCAGGAGAGACUCGGAGGAGUACCGAGCUUGACCGGCGGACACCGCACCGAGCCGCUCCACUGGGCCGGGGGAGGCAGGGCUGGCGG